rnacentral:rRNA from 1 species
UACGAAGGGGGCUAGCGUUGCUCGGAAUCACUGGGCGUAAAGGGCGCGUAGGCGGCCGCUCAAGUCGGGGGUGAAAGCCUGUGGCUUAACCACAGAAUUGCCUUCGAUACUGUUUGGCUUGAGACCGGAAGAGGUUAGUGGAACUGCGAGUGUAGAGGUGAAAUUCGUAGAUAUUCGCAAGAACACCAGUGGCGAAGGCGGCUGACUGGUCCGGUUCUGACGCUGAGGCGCGAAAGCGUGGGGAGCAAACAGG